CGCUGGCGGCGUGCCUAACACAUGCAAGUCGAACGGAGAGCAUAUGAAGUAUUCGGUACGGAAUGCGUUCUAGUGGCGAACGGGUGAGUAACACGUGGGCAACCUGCCCCAGACUGGGGGAUAACAUUGUGAAAACAGUGCUAAUACCGCAUGACAGGGUUCCGGGCAUCCGGGACUCUUGAAAGGAGAAAUCCGGUCAGGGAUGGGCCCGCGUCCAAUUAGCUAGUUGUGGGGUAACGGCCCACCAAGGCGACGAUUGGUAGCCGAACUGAGAGGUUGAUCGGCCACAUUGGGACUGAGACACGGCCCAGACUCCUACGGGAGGCAGCAGUGGGGAAUAUUGGGCAAUGGGCGAAAGCCUGAACCCCCAGCGACGCCGCGUGAAGGAUGAAGGUCUUCGGAUUGUAAACUUCUUUGAUCAGGGAAGAAAGAAAUGACGGUACCUGAAAAACAAGCCACGGCUAACUACGUGCCAGCAGCCGC
rnacentral:rRNA from 1 species